GCCCAGGUGUUGGAACUGGUAGACAAGCAGGAUUUAGGUUCCUGUGUGGGAAACCGCGUGAGGGUUCAAAUCCCUCCCUGGGCACCA
rnacentral:tRNA from 1 species